rnacentral:rRNA from 1 species
CAACUUGAGAGUUUGAUCCUGGCUCAGAACGAACGCUGGCGGCAGGCCUAACACAUGCAAGUCGAGCGAACCCUUCGGGGUUAGCGGCGGACGGGUUAGUAACGCGUGGGAAUAUGCCCAAAGGUACGGAAUAGCCUCGGGAAACUGAGAGUAAUACCGUAUGUGCCCUUCGGGGGAAAGAUUUAUCGCCUUUGGAUUAGCCCGCGUUGGAUUAGGUAGUUGGUGGGGUAAUGGCCUACCAAGCCGACGAUCCAUAGCUGGUUUGAGAGGAUGAUCAGCAACACUGGGACUGAGACACGGCCCAGACUCCUACGGGAGGCAGCAGUGGGGAAUCUUAGACAAUGGGGGAAACCCUGAUCUAGCCAUGCCGCGUGAGUGA